GAGGCGCUGUGGCUCCACACAAAACCUCCCUCCGUUUGGCCCAUAGACUAUACCGUCUAUGGUUUUGCCUGGACGUAAUUUUUCGGUGUACCUGAGCGUCCACCUGCUCUGCUCAGCUCUGCUCACUCUCCCACCCAGAUACUAAUUGUGUGGGGAGGUAAACAUAGCAGUCAAGUGGAGAGGACGGCGAGUCAAGCGUGAAUAUCAAUCUCCCCACAUCAGUGUCAUCAGAUGACUUUGACUGAGUUGAGGCGGGCUCAUUAGAGCGCUGGAGCAGGCCGCAAUAACAUCCAGGUGGAGGCCUCCGAAGCUACGGAAGCCCGCAGAGCUCACCAGUUAACAGCUGCCUGGCUUACCUGUAUCUCCAGCUUCAUCAACCUCCUGAUGAAACCCAUACUGGCCCUUCUGCUGAUAAGAUUCUUCAAAGGCCCAUUUAAAGUGUAUGCCAGGCCUCACUCUGGGUCUUUUCAUAUGGGAGCAGAAGAGGCUGUGCCUCUGGAGGCUUAGCAUUCUUAAUCUGAAUGGCUUUUUGCAUUUCCUGCCAUCACUGUCAACACCGCAUGCCCUCUCUAUAAAGUGCCACACAAAGCAGACACUGUUUUGAGCUCUCCAGGCUCUCCAGGCUCUACCUGCCUGCUCCUGCUGCUGUCACACAUCACUUCAGGAAACUGAUGAACUGUACCAACCUCAGAUUAACCUCCCACCCCGUCUUUCUUUUUCUGCAAGCCCAGACCAUCACUGGAGGUUCCAGAAAAUCAAGCGUAAGGAGGAAGAAAGAUAUCAGAUAACAAGGCAGCGUGGAGGCGCGAGCACGUGGCGUCACACGCUUGGCGCUGCAACCACCGGGAAUGAAGUGACAGGCCGCGGGGGAGCACAGGGACAGAAU